rnacentral:misc_RNA from 1 species
GAAAUGCGAUACCUAAUGCGAAUUGCAGAAUUCAGUGAAUCAUCAAAUCUUUGAACGCAAAUUGCGCUCUCGGGAUAGGCCUGAGAGCACGCCUCUUUGAGUAUCGAUUCCACCACCUCCAGAACAAACUUGUUUUGACACUGGGAAUUUGAGUGCUUCAUAUCUCUUUGCUGGGAUGUGUCACUUGAAGCGGAAUGGAAUUGAGGGUCUGCGAAACUGCUGUUGAAACUUCAUAGGCUGAAGUGGACUUGAACAUGGAUAAAUUUCCGAUGAUCAAUAAACCUUAGGCUUUUGAUAUCAGCGAAUCUAAGUUUUGCAAAGAGAAAGCCCUCUCCUAACUAAUAUCUUAACAAUCUAAGAAUUAGAUCUCAAAUGAAGCGAGACAACCCGCUGAACUUAA